UACGUAGGUGGCAAGCGUUGUCCGGAUUUACUGGGCGUAAAGAGCGCGCAGGCGGUCAGAUAAGUCGAAUGUGAAAGCCCCCGGCUCAACUGGGGAGGGUCAUUCGAUACUGUUCGACUCGAAGGCAGGAGAGGGAAGUGGAAUUCCCGGUGUAGUGGUGAAAUGCGUAGAUAUCGGGAGGAACACCAGUGGCGAAGGCGACUUCCUGGCCUGUUCUUGACGCUGAGGCGCGAAAGCGUGGGGAACAAACAGG
rnacentral:rRNA from 1 species